UCCAUAUCAUCAUACACCUUAGUAGUCUUUCAGGCUAUUGGUGCUGGAAGACAUUUAAAUCUUCCAGUGGCGGAUAAUGUAAUUAUCAUAAGCCCUCGGAAGAAAUCUUCCGAGGUUUUUUUUU
rfam:Candidatus Baumannia cicadellinicola strain B-GSS, complete genome.